rnacentral:rRNA from 1 species
GACGUAGGUGGCGAACGUUAUCCGGAAUUAUUGGGCGUAAAGGGUGCGUAGGUGGCCUGACAAGUUAUCAGUGGCAAAUCGAGGCUCAACCUCGUGGAAACUGGUAAUACUGUUCGGCUUGAGUACAGGAGAGGUUAACGGAACUCUAUGUGGAGCGGUAAAAAUGCACAGAUAUAAUGGAAGAACAUCAAAUAAAAGGCGAAAGGCAGUUUAAACUAUUCUGUUUACUGACGCUGAGGCACGAAAAGCGUGGGGGAGCAAAAACGGG